AUCGUUCCGCCGACGGAAUAAAGGGGCUGCGGGCGGCUACGCCGGCGGCGGUCUGCUUUAUGAUGGGUUCAGAGCAAAACCCCACAAGCAAUUGAGCUGACACAACAGGAGUGGUAGACUGCUAUGACAUGGAUUUUAUGGAAUCACAGAAUGGCUAAGGCUGGGAGAGGCAUCUGAAGGUCAUCUUGUCCACCCCCCUGCACUUUUCCAGGAUUGUGUCUGGGUGGAUUUUGAACAUGUCCAAUGAUGGAGACUUUGCAGUCUCUCUGGCCAACCAGUUCCAGUGCUCAGUCACCCUCACAGUAAAAAAUUUCAAGCUUCACUGUCAUUAAAUAUUUUGUGUGAUGACUGCCUGCUCUAAAUUAGAACUAAGAAGCAUUUGUAGAAGUUCAUGACUACCUCCCGGUUCAGGUCUUACAGUUAGACUUCGAAAUCCUGUGUCUGUGUAACACUGCCUGUGUCAGUCUCUUGGAAUGCAUCUGUCCUAGUCAGUUCUAGUAUGCUUCAGAAUGCAUGGGAAUGUGUUUGUCCUUGCUAGGCUAAUCCCACAGUAGGCCAGUCCUACACUUGCUAGGCCAAUCUCAGCACACUCCCUAAAAAAAUCUUGGCCUGUUUCAACUGUUUAUGUCCCUCAGCAACUCCUUGGCAUUGUCUGUCAUUCAGAGCAGCUCAGGAGAACGCUCAAUGGGCAGUUUGCCUUCAGUUACCCAUUCCCAACAAUUUCUUAAGUGUAGAUGCCAGCUAUUCUGUGAAUUAUGUCAGAGCCUUCUACUCUGUGAGUGAUGUCAGACAUGUUUAAUUUGCUGGUGUAUAAGUGGCCUGUGUCUGCAGGAUAUCUGAAUGUGUGCUCAGCACUGUGACCUGAGCUUUAGUGCAUCGUGCUGCUGAACGUGCCCUUGACUCCAGGCUUCAUGUGUGAUAUGUGUUAGGGAGAUGGGGCAGGCAAGAAUAACAAAACUGCCUCUUUGCUUCUUGUCUUGGUUUCUGGGGAAUAUUUUCUUUGACUUUUUCCUUUUAGAACUUGUCCAGAUCUUGGGCUGUGUUUGUGAAUUUGCCUUUCUGAAUUUUAGCCCUCUAAGCAUGAAAAUCAAUGUAAUUUAUUUUUUACUUACAUCAGAGUGGAUAAUGUAACUCAGGCACAUAAUAAAUAAACAAAUCAGCUUGCUUAAUUUGAACUGAAAUACAACUUUUCAAUGCUUUUUUUAGCCUUCAAAAAAUUUCUAAAAUUUAGGAUCAAGAACAGCUCCGAGCUGUUUUCGAUUGAAAACUGCAAUUGCUCUCUGUAUUUCCAAUGAAUCUAUUUCAGUGAGAAUGAAAAAAUGGACUUUUUUAAACCUCAGUAUUUAUUUUUAAUUUCACCUGCAUUUGAGACCUCCUGCUGGCCUACCUGUGUUUUUCUCAAUUUAUAUUCAAUGUAAAACUGAUUUUGGGAGAGAAUCAAUCACUUGGUUUGGAAUGCUGAUUUCUGAUGUUUAGCUGUAUGCCUCUGUAGCACAGUUAUCUUUAUGCUGUAAGUAUAUGUAACUCAAGAAUGUACAUUAGCAAAAUAAGGUAUUUCUCUUUCAAUAUGCAUUUCUUAAUUUCUCUUUCAAUAUGCAUCUCAUAAGAUCUGCAAGAUGUUACAAGGAGUUUGAAGAUAUAGUACGAUAACAUAAAAGUAGUGUUUUAUGUAGAUGUAAAUAACAAAACCCAAGAACUAUAUUAAAAUAAUGUUUAAA
rnacentral:lncRNA from 1 species